GGCCCCGUAGCUCAGCUGGAUAGAGCGGCCGCCUCCUAAGCGGCAGGUCACAGGUUCGAAUCCUGUCGGGGUCACCA
rnacentral:tRNA from 3 species